UGAACGCUAGCGGCAGGCCUAACACAUGCAAGUCGAGGGGCAGCAGGGCGUAGCAAUACGCUGCUGGCGACCGGCGCACGGGUGCGUAACGCGUAUGCAACCUACCCAGUAACAGGGGGGAUAACGGAGUGAAAAUUCCACUAAUACCCCGUAUUGCCACAUAGUCGCAUGGCUUAGUGGCGAAAGCCUUCGGGUGGUUAUGGAUGGGCAUGCGUGGCAUUAGGUAGUUGGCGGGGCAACGGCCCACCAAGCCCACGAUGCCUAGGGGAGCUGAGAGGCUAAUCCCCCACACUGGUACUGAGACACGGACCAGACUCCUACGGGAGGCAGCAGUGAGGAAUAUUGGUCAAUGGAGGGAACUCUGAACCAGCCAUGCCGCGUGAGGGAGGAAGGCCCUAUGGGUUGUAAACCUCUUUUGCCCCGGGGCAAUAAGGCUCAUGCGUGAGCCGAUGAGAGUACGGGGCGAAUAAGCAUCGGCUAACUCCGUGCCAGCCGCUGC
rnacentral:rRNA from 1 species